GAUCUUAUAGUUUAACUAAAAUUUAAGACUGCAAUUCUUAAGAUGCUAAUUUGCUAAGAUCU
rnacentral:tRNA from 1 species